CGCGGGGUGGAGCAGUUGGCAGCUCGUCGGGCUCAUAACCCGAAGGUCACAGGUUCAAGUCCUGUCCCCGCAA
rfam:[Clostridium] thermoalcaliphilum strain DSM 7309 CLOTH_contig000014, whole genome shotgun sequence.